rnacentral:rRNA from 1 species
GUUCCGAAUGACGCUGAGGGACACGCACCCAUGUGGAAGAAGAAAUCUAUAUUUUGGGACCUACCCUACUGGAAAGAGCUAGAGGUCCGCUCUUCAAUCGAAGUGAUGCACGUGACGAAGAACCUUUGCGUGAACCUGCUAGGCUUCUUGGGCGUGUAUGGGAAGACAAAAGAUACACCUGAGGCACGGGAGGACUUGCAACGUUUGCACGAAAAAGACGGCAUGCCUCCGAAGCAGUAUGAAGGUCCUGCCAGCUACACUCUUAUGAAAGAAGAGAAAGAAAUCUUCUUUGAAUGCCUGCUCAGUAUGAAGGUCCCGACUGGCUUCUCGUCGAAUAUAAAGGGAAUAAUAAAUAUGCCAGAGAAAAAGUUCCAGAACCUAAAGUCUCAUGACUGCCACGUGAUUAUGACGCAACUGCUUCCGGUUGCAUUGAGGGGGCUUCUACCGGAAAACGUCCGAUUAGCCAUUGUGAAG